GACGAACCGAGCGAACGUUGCUCGGAAUCACUGGGCGUAAAGGGUGCGUAGGCGGGUCUUUAAGUCAGGGGUGAAAUCCUGGAGCUCAACUCCAGAACUGCCUUUGAUACUGAGGAUCUUGAGUCCGGGAGAGGUGAGUGGAACUGCGAGUGUAGAGGUGAAAUUCGUAGAUAUUCGCAAGAACACCAGUGGCGAAGGCGGCUCACUGGCCCGGUACUGACGCUGAGGCACGAAAGCGUGGGGAGCAAACAGG
rnacentral:rRNA from 1 species